rnacentral:lncRNA from 1 species
GUUCUGUUUCUUUUUCUCAGGUUCAUGGCUUCCAUCAGAACAUGGCCUUUGUUUUUCCAGACAAUGAAGGCGGUGCUGGUUCUAGAAAAAAUGGAGCCAUUUUGAUGCUGUUGCCACAGAAAGUACACAAAUAAUACAAAGCAUAAACAAAUAAUACACAAAUAAUGUUGUAUUUAGUUCCGAAAACUUGAUUUAUACUAAGAUGCAUAUUCUAAGCGAUGGUUCUCUCUCUCACGACACACUCUCUCUCUCCUUUUUUUUUUCUCCCACCGCGACAUCGUCAUUUUUGAUGAUAGUUGCGGCGCCGUCCGGCCACGCCAGGCCACGAGACCAGUCGAAAAAGAACCGGGAGGAGCCGGUGACCUUCAGGCCGUCACACCGUCGCGACGAGCUCAGAAAGUUUCGGGAUUUUUGAGCUUUCAGUCAUCGUUUCCAGCGAAUCCAGAGGCCAAUUUCGUCGAUCCAGGUAUGAAUCUUCAUCCCCUCCACGUGCUCUAGCUGUCUAUGCUAGUAUCUUGGAUCAAUUUUGAGGUUUUUCAGAUAGUUCAAUAUACCCAUUUUUAGCCAACAAUUUUGCCUCGAUUCGGCUAGUUCUGGUCAGUUUUCAGCUAGUUCAAUAUACCCCUUAGUUGUGCUUGAUGUGUUGGUAUAGGUAUUGUGAGGUGUUUCAAGAAAUUUCUGUCGCUGAAAAUUUCUCAAGACACCCUCACUCUGCCAACUGCGCAUGGCGACUCGUGGGACAUUGUGUGGCAGUCCACUAAGUUCUAAAUUGUUUCCCUUCUCGUCCUGAGCAUGACGGUAUACUCGGAUUUGAAUUUGGUUAUCGUUUGAUAGUUGAACGGAUAUUGCACCUAUUAUGCGAUAUCCGGGUUCGAUAGGGUCGGACUUUUCGAUUAGUCCCAAUUUCAAUUAUGUUGUUCCGCAUAUCUCUAGGAUCAUGUAGGAACUUUACGGAUCGAGAAUCAAGGUUUCGGGUACUCCAAAUCAAUGAUUCUAAGUUUAGGCAAAACAAUCGUCGUCCGAUCGUGCGAUUGGCUUAGAUCCGACCGCUUGAUCGAGAUCAAACUUUCGGGACUUCUUUAGUAAACUUUGUUGGACCUAUAGGAACUUUAGGAUCAGAAAUUAGAGGUCGUGAGCCUCACAGGCCUAGUUGACCUAGAUGGUGGGCCUCAUUGGCCCGAUCAAGACCCUUUUGGUUACGAGGUGUUUGUGGUAGGUUUGUUGGAGUUUAAAUUGGUAUUUUUGCUAUGAAAAUUUUAUUAACUGUUUAUGAAUUAUUGUUCUAUUGAUUUUACUUUCCAAGCAUGAUAUAUCUCUGUUUAUUUUAUAUAUGUUCUAAAUGGAUUAAUAAUUAGAUUGUGUUGCCUUUGGAAAUAUGGUUGCCUUCGGAGAUAUUGAUGUCUUCAGAAUGUAUUCGGACACAUGGUUGUCUUUUGAAUGUCUUCAAACAUAUGGUUGCCUUCGGAUUGUCUUUGGACACCUUAGUUACCUUCGGAUUUGUCGACUUGCGUUUGAUAGUGUGCUCACGAAUUUCGGGGACGCCCGAACCGUGUGGUGCGAGGAUUUGCAUUCUCAGGUGGAGUAUAUCUCCCUGAGUUAUGUGAGGAAUGCAGUCUCAAGCCGACCAUAUGUCCCCUGAGUUUUGCUAGGAAUGCAUCUCGGCCUGACCUCAUGUCCCCUGAGUUCUGCAAGGAUGUAUCACACAUGUGGCAACAUGUGUGGUGCUGGGGAAAUUGACGGAUUAUUUGCAUUCUCGGGUUAAGUAUAGCUACCUAAGUCCUGCAAAGGAAAUUGACGGUAUAUUAUUAGAAUUAAUGGAUUACGUUUGAGGUAUAUCUAUGUGGAGAAUAGUGCAGUACCACCCUGUGGUACACUUGACAGGAUAUUUGAUAGGACCCGACCCAAAUUCUACUUCGGAAUCCGUGUCGAACCCCUUACGUGUCCAGCACCUGGCAGGUGGCGGGCACGAAUGACCAAAGUACCCUUCUUGCCCUAAUCCAAAAACUGCUUUAGCGUUUGACUUCUACCGAGAAACCGGCAGAGUCUCUCUUAAAAAAAGCUCAAAACCCAGAAACCUACCUGCACGGCAAACUCAAAUAAUUUCCCAAGCGUUUAGCAAAUUCAACUUUACAAAACUGAACAUAACAUAACAAACCAAACAAAAACUUGCAGCUGCACCUAGGUUAGCCUAAGUUGCUUACGUAUCCUUAUUGAGGGUUCAAACCACACAUAGUUCUUUCUAUCUUGAGACACAAUUAAGAUAGUACAGAAAUAUUCAAAAUGAAACCAACGAAGAAAUUCUGGAAUCAUUCUUUAUCUUGGUCUCCACAAGUUAUAUAAUUGAAUAUCAUGCCAUUAAAUUAUGUACUUAACUGUUCCAUUAGUUUAUCACUGUACAUCCAAAUACUUGCAUAACCAAACCUUUUACCUGAAAACCAUACCUACAAUCAUCCGCAUAGUACAUAUAUCAUGUAAUCACCCACCAAGGGGAAUAUGGGAACACUAUCAAAUCCAAAGGCAACAAGGGAUGGGGAAACUAGCUAACCACCUGUGUAGACAAGUCCGGCAGAUGGCUUGGGAUCUUGGCCAACCUUGUGCAGAUAAUAUGAGCAGGGUGGUUAAUAAUAUCUUGUUAAUUGUACCACAUGUUGGUACUGCAUUAUUCUCCACAUAGAUGUACUCUAAACAUAAUCCAUCAAUUCCAAUAAUAUAACGUCAAUUCCAAGUACCACACAUGUGGCCACAUGUGUCAUACAUCCUCGCAAAACUCGGGGGACACGCGGUCAACCCGAGAUGCAUUCCUCAUAGAACUCAGGGGACCCAUGGUUGGCCUGAGCCGCAUUCCUCACAGCAGGGAAAUACACUCAACCUGAGAACGCAAAUCCUUGCACUACACGGUUCGAGCGCCACAGAUACUCGUGGGGCAAUGUCAUACGUGCGUAGACAAAUCCGUCAAUUCCCCUCGCAGGACUCAGGGAGAUAUACUCAACUUGAGAAUGCAAAUAAUCUGUCAAUUCCCCUCACAGGAUUCAGGGAGAUAUACUCAACCUGAGAACACAAAAUAAUCCGAAGGCAACCAUAUGUUCGAAGACAUUCCGAAAGCAACUGUAUGUCCGAAGACAUCAUUAUUUCUGAAGGCAACCAUAUUUCCGAAAGAAACACAAUCCAAUUAUUAAUCCAUUUAACACAUAUAUAAAAAUACACACAUAUAUAUCAUGCUUGGAAGUAAAACCAAUAGAACAAUAAUUCACAAAUAUUUAAUAAAACUCUCAUAGCAAAAUACCAACUUAAAAUCAAAUAACCAAGCCCCAAGCCCUAAGCACCUCCCAACCAAUUAGUCUCGAUCGGACCUGCAAGGCCCACCAUCUACGUCAAUUAGGUUUGUGGGGCCUACGAUCUCUGAUUCCCCUAUCCGAAAGUUCUUGUAGGUCCAACAAAGUUUACUAAACAAGUCCUGAAAGUUUGAUCACGACCGAGAAGUGGAAUCUAAGUCAAUCGCACGAUCGGAUGGCGAUCAUUUCGCCUAAAUUUGGCAUCAAUGACUCGAAGUAUCUGGGACUUCGAUUCUUAAUCAGCAAGUUCCUACACAAUCCUAGAGGCAUAGAGAACGACAUAAUUGAAAUUGGAACUGAUUGAACAGUCUGAACCUAAUGAACCCGGAUAUCACAUAAUAGGUGCAAUAUUCACUCGACUGUUAAAUGAUAACCAAAUCUAAAUCCGAGCAUACCGUCUUGCUUAGGAUAACAAAUGAAACAAUUUAGAACUCAAUGGGCAGCCACACAGUGGCCCACGCGCUGCCACCCACCACUGGCAGCGGUGGGUGUCUUGAGAGAUUUUUCGGCUGCAGAAAAUCACAAACCACUGCCCAAUACAUGUGCCAAUAGAUUUAGACUAACUAGGAAAUCUACUUUUGUUCUUGGAACACGGCAAAAAACUAACCGGAAAUAAUCAAAAACACCAACCGCUGGCCAAAAAUGGGUUUAAGAAUUGAUUUCUAAAACCUCAAAAUUAACCCAACCCAAGUACAUAAACAAGUAGAGCGUGAUGAGUAGAGUUUCAUACCUCGCUCGAUGAAAACCAUCGCCCGAAUCACCGAAAAAUGCAAGAACACGCCAGAAAAACCUAAGCAUUUCUCAGCUUCGAUUCGAGCUCUCCCUCAGCAAAUAGGAUCAAUUCUUGCAUCUGUUUUGUAGAGGAGGACGAGAGAAACCUUUUUUGUGAAGCUAGCAUGGCCAACCGGUGCACGACGACGUCAAUUGGUGGUCGAGAAGUCAAACAAUCACUGUUGCUACAAUGAUUGUCGCAAGAGAAGAGAAGGAAGAAGAAAAUGUUGUCGGGGGGGGGGGGGGGGGGGAGAAAGAAGAAGGAGAAAAAUAAAAAGCAGCCCCGGUACUGUAGUAGUAACAAAUUUGAAAAUUCUCAUUAUGUCCUUUUCGUUUCUAGACCUUUCCUCUUUCGUUACAACUCGGAAUUAGCGUGCCGCAUGUC